GACGUAGGGCGCGAGCGUUGUCCGGAUUUAUUGGGCGUAAAGAGCUCGUAGGCGGCUUGUCGCGUCGUCCGUGAAAAACCCGGGGCUCAACUCCGGGCUUGCGGGCGAUACGGGCAGGCUAGAGUUCGGUAGGGGAGACUGGAAUUCCUGGUGUAGCGGUGAAAUGCGCAGAUAUCGGGAGGAACACCGGUGGCGAAGGCGGUUCUCUGGGCCUGACCUGACGCUGAGGAGCGAAAGCGUGGGGGAGCAAACAGG
rnacentral:rRNA from 1 species